rnacentral:tmRNA from 1 species
GGGGAUGUAUUGGUUUCGACGGGGUCGUUGAGACAUGAGCUGCGAGUAGAGGAUUCUCGUUGGCCUCUAUAAAAACGAGAACUUUAAAAUUAAACGCUAACAAUAACGUAGCACUCCAGGCUGCUUAAUGCAGCCUCGUCGACCCGGAGGUCACCCGUGCCUUCGGCAAUCGGCGACAGUAAGUCGGGCCUGCCGGCGCGGCGGUUAACGCCGGGACCGGGCCAGCCUAAGCUUUGCAGCUGGCCGGCAUAAUGAAGCUACCCGUAUGAGAACCCUGUCUGUUCGGGGUCUCAUACGGGGAAAUGAAAAAGACAGACUACACUCGUAGACGUUUGUGGCAAUUCGGUUUCGGACGCGGGUUCGACUCCCGCCAUCUCCACCA